UCUGAACUUAAAAUUACUCCAGAACAUAAAGUACCUCCCGGCGGAACCAAAGUUAAGCAGAAACAACAGGAAGGAGAAGCAUCGGACCUUAAAGAAAAGGGCGAGUUCCGGCAACACAACUCACUCCUGCAAAUCAGGAACCGAUCAGCGCCAGACACGCCUUAGAGUUGCUGCUUGGGACGUCAUGAAACAAGCGAUUCUUCAUCUUCAUCAUUGAGGUAUUUUUUUGAAACCAAAGCUAUCCUUCCAAUGCAUGAUGAUUCUGGGAGACUUGCCAAGAUCAGACAGCCUGGUUCUUCCCAGCCUCAUCUUCUCGUUAUUAAUCAGUGACUGAGUAUUACAACUCAUUUAUUAGGCAAAUAAACAAAACAGAAUCCAGAGCACUUGCUAAAGAAUAAUAAAUAUAAAGGGUUUCCAGUAUACACACUGAGAAUACGUAUAACAGGGCCAAAAGCGAAAUGAUGUAUUCUUCUGCCUAUCUCCAACUCCAACGACCCACUGAGUUUUCGGUAUCUCUGAACUUCUCACUAAAGACCUUUGUAAUAGUCUUUCAGAAUUAAUGAAUCAAAUGCUUGUGAGCAAAUGGAUUUCUGAAGCAUCUUUUUAAAAGCCCAAGCUUUAAAAGACAAGGAAGAGAGGGAAAGAAGAUCAACUGAGUGCUACCUCCAAUAAUCCAACUCACUCCUCAGUGCUUCUGAAUUUAAAAUUAGUAGGGUUUCACUGCACCUGCAUUACUUGAAUUACUUUGGCUCAGGUUGAAGUCAUUGUCCUACGAAGAUCUAAAGAGCUUUAAGAUGAGAAACAGAUUAGUGAUGUUACAUUGCAUGCAUAAUAUAAGUUUGACUCACUUCUCAAAAUUUCACAUUUCUAUGUACUUAACAGUUAAAAUACAAUUCAAGGAACUGUUCAUUAUACUUGUAUCACUCUGAAGAGAAAUGGUAGAAAUAGUUAUUUUAGUGACAAAAACUAAUUAGUUUAGGUUAGAGGAUGAAAAAGCGAAAUGGUAAGAAGUCACUGAAUCAUUAAAGAAAGCAAGAGACAGAUUCCAUGAGGCAAAAUAUCAAAGGCAUAAAACUCUGGUUGAGGAAAGUAUAUUGCUAGUGUAAUUCUCCUUAAUGCAGGAUAACAAAUGAAGUAUCAAUUAACUAGAGAGGACUUACAGUCAACUCACUCAUCACUUCCACUCUCCAAUGAAUUAUCAAAUUUGCAUAAGUAGAAGUCAUAAUUAAUGAAGAAUUAGAGUACAUGACCAUAGUUUCCUCAGGGAUCAUACAAUGUCAAAAAACGUUAGAGAUGUUAGUUAACAUUUCUAGACACUCCUGGAGUACCCUUAGGUAAAAUGCAAAAGUGCAUUGCAGUGUAAAUAAACAUAUGGGAGAGCAAAUUAGACAAUGGCAGGGUACAAUGGAUAAAAGCAAUCUCCUACAGCUUACAAAAUCUGUUAACCCUAUUUCAAAGGUUGGGUGUAUGUAUAAUCUUCAAAUAAGCAAAUAAACACAACCUUAUGGUCAAAAUGAUUGAAAGUAGGAUGUUGUUGCAUGAUCUUAGUUACACAAUUUUACAAAUAAAUAGCAGAGUCUUAUAUGAUAUGGGAGGAUAUUUAAAGUUGAUUAUGUCAGUUAUAUCUAAACUAGGAUUUAAAUAAAACCUAGAAAACCUAGGAUUUUUCUUUGGUGCUCCACAUAUUUUUACUCUUUCAUAACCCUGGGUCACCCAGAAUUCUCAGGAUAUCCUGUAGACAUUUAGCAUAUCCACCCUUCACCACUACAGUGUCACAAGUAGCCUCACUUUGUGUUCAACCAGGUAACACAUGUUUUAGUUUUUAGGAUAGCACCGUCUUCAAAAUGGAACUUCUCUCUUUGUCCAAUUUCUCAAUUGGGCAUUCUUUUCUCUGCUAGGUUAAUUGCAUUAAUCUAAAAAAUUCAUUCCUGUUAAUUAUCAGUCAUAGGUUAAUGGAUCACCCCAACUGAAAAUAAACCUGCAUUGUAACAUCA